UGGGGAAUAUUGGGCAAUGGGCGCAAGCCUGACCCAGCAACGCCGCGUGAAGGAAGAAGGCCCUCGGGUUGUAAACUUCUUUUAUUCGGGACGAAGGAAGUGACGGUACCGAAUGAAUAAGCCACGGCUAACUACGUGCCAGCAGCCGCGGUAAUACGUAGGUGGCAAGCGUUAUCCGGAUUUACUGGGUGUAAAGGGCGUGUAGGCGGGAUGGUAAGUCAGAUGUGAAAACUCAGGGGCUCAACCCUGAGCCUGCAUUUGAAACUAUCGUUCUUGAGUGAUGGAGAGGCAGGCGGAAUUCCGUGUGUAGCGGUGAAAUGCGUAGAUAUACGGAGGAACACCAGUGGCGAAGGCGGCCUGCUGGACAUUAACUGACGCUGAGGCGCGAAAGCGUGGGGAGCAAACAGGAUUAGAUACCC
rnacentral:rRNA from 1 species